GAAGCGGCAACAGCUCAAAUUUGAAAUCUGGCGCAAGCCCGAGUUGUAAUUUGUAGAGGAUGCUUCUGGGCAGCGGCCGUUCUAAGUUCCUUGGAACAGGACGUCAUAGAGGGUGAGAAUCCCGUAUGUGACCGGCGCGCACCCUCCACGUAGCUCCUUCGACGAGUCGAGUUGUUUGGGAAUGCAGCUCUAAAUGGGAGGUAAAUUUCUUCUAAAGCUAAAUACCGGCCAGAGACCGAUAGCGCACAAGUAGAGUGAUCGAAAGAUGAAAAGCACUUUGGAAAGAGAGUUAAAAAGCACGUGAAAUUGUUGAAAGGGAAGCGCUUGCAACCAGACUUCGCGGCGGUGUUCCGCCGGUCUUCUGACCGGUCUACUCGCCGCCGCGAGGCCAACAUCGUCUGGGGCCGCCGGAUAAGACCAUGGGAAUGUGGCUCCCUCGGGAGUGUUAUAGCCCACGGUGAUGCGGCGUGUCCCGGGCGAGGUCCGCGCUUCGGCAAGGAUGUUGGCGUAAUGGUUGCCAGCGGCCCGUCUUGAAACACGGACCAAGGAGUCUAACAUCUAUGCGAGUGUUCGGGUGUCAAACCCCUACGCGUAAUGAAAGUGAACGGAGGUGGGAGCUUCGGCGCACCAUCGACCGAUCCUGAUGUCCUCGGAUGGAUUUGAGUAAGAGCAUAGCUGUUGGGACCCGAAAGAUGGUGAACUAUGCCUGAAUAGGGUGAAGCCAGAGGAAACUCUGGUGGA
rnacentral:rRNA from 1 species